rnacentral:rRNA from 1 species
AUUGAACGCUGGCGGCAGGCCUAACACAUGCAAGUCGAACGAGUGGCGGACGGGUGAGUAAUGUCUGGGAAACUGCCCGAUGGAUGGGGAUAACUACUGGAAACGGUAGCUAAUACCGCAUACCAUCGGAUGUGCCCAGAUGGGAUUAGCUAGUAGGUGGGUUAACGGCUCACCUAGGCGACGAUCCCUAGCUGGUCUGAGAGGAUGACCAGCCACACUGGAACUGAGACACGGUCCAGACUCCUACGGGAGGCAGCAGUGGGGAAUAUUGGACAAUGGGCGCAAGCCUGAUGCAGCCAUGCCGCGUGUAUGAAGAAGGUCUUCGGGUUGUAAAGUACUUUCAGCGAGGAGGCGUUACUCGAAGAAGAAGCACCGGCUAACUCCGUGCCAGCAGCCGCGGUAAUAC